CGUAGGGUGCGAGCGUUAAUCGGAAUUACUGGGCGUAAAGCGUGCGCAGGCGGUUUAGUAAGACAGGCGUGAAAUCCCCGGGCUCAACCUGGGAACUGCGCUUGUGACUGCUAAGCUAGAGUACGGCAGAGGGGGGUGGAAUUCCACGUGUAGCAGUGAAAUGCGUAGAGAUGUGGAGGAACACCAAUGGCGAAGGCAGCCCCCUGGGUCGAUACUGACGCUCAUGCACGAAAGCGUGGGUAGCAAACAGGAUUAGAUACCCUGGUAGUCCACGCCCUAAACGAUGUCAACUAGGUGUUGGGAGGGUAAAACCUUUUAGUACCGGAGCUAACGCGUGAAGUUGACCGCCUGGGGGAGUACGGCCGCAAGGCUG
rnacentral:rRNA from 1 species